rnacentral:lncRNA from 1 species
AUUCGUUUUUGACUGUAUCUCUGCAACACUUUCUUCUCUUCCGGAUAAACCUUUUUUUCAAUGAUUGUCUCUUUGCCAUCUAUCGUUGAAACUGAAGUAAUAGUUAUAUUCCCCUUACGUAACGUCAUUGCUGACAUAAUCUUUGGACUCAUUUUUUCUGCACACUUUUUACGUGUAGCAUUUCUGCUAACCAACAUGAGGCAUUUAUAUGUAUUGCAACUCUAACCUAAGCCACUAUUCUGAUCAGUCAUGUGCUUUUUGUUUGUACUUUAUAGAUUGGUACUAUCUGAA